rnacentral:rRNA from 1 species
UACAGAGGUCUCAAGCGUUGUUCGGAUUCAUUGGGCGUAAAGGGUGCGUAGGCGGCGCGGUAAGUCGGGUGUGAAAUCUCGGAGCUUAACUUCGAAACUGCAUUCGAUACUGCCGUGCUUGAGGACUGGAGAGGAGACUGGAAUUUACGGUGUAGCGGUGAAAUGCGUAGAUAUCGGGAGGAACACCGGUGGCGAAGGCGGCGACCUGGGUAGAUACUGACGCUGAGGUGCGAAAGCGUGGGGAGCAAACAGG